GACAUAGGUGGCAAGCGUUAUUCGGAAUUACUGGGCGUAAAGCGUGCGUAGACGGUUAUUUAAGUCGGAUGUGAAAGCCCCGGGCUCAACCUGGGAAUUGCAUUCGAGACUGAAUAGCUAGGGUGCGGUAGAGGGAAGCGGAAUUUCCGGUGUAGCGGUGAAAUGCGUAGAUAUCGGAAGGAACAUCAGUGGCGAAAGCGGCUUCCUGGACCAGCACCGACGUUCAGGCACGAAAGCGUGGGGAGCAAACAGG
rnacentral:rRNA from 1 species